AUUUCCCUGCCCAUUCUUUCACUACCGAAUAUUCAGCCCCAGCCCAUUUAUUAUUUUUUACCCCUUUUAAACCCGACCCACUUUCUUUUUCCUCAACACAAAAACCCAACACUUCAACAGCCUCCCCAACACGACAAAAUUCCCUGAAAAAAAAAAGCAAAAAAAGAGCCAGCGCGUCAAGGCAAAUUAGCGCGUGGAUGAUGACGCUCAAUAAUCAACGUCUCCCACCUUAGUACGGUUUCAGCAGCUAAGGGUUCACGCAUCUCAUCCCUUUUUUGGAUUUUUGAGUGAGUGCAGGCUUUUGUAUUGUACUUGCUCGUGCGGAUAUGUGACACGUCAAGCGGCAAGGACGCCAAAUCAAUCUGAAGUGUCGACCCUCCUUUCCUCUUCAUGAGUAGUCUGAUGGCUUCAGGAAAAGUGGUUCGUCCAUUUUUGUGAAAGAGCUGGAGGAAAUUUUGAAUUUUUUAGAACUAAUCUAUUCCGUUUCUACCCUUUGCCCCCUCCCAAAACCUUAUCCUCUCCCUAUAUAUACUUAGCUAUCUCCACUGUUGAAGGGGAUUUUUCCUUCCAUUUUUUUUGGAAUUUUUUUCUGUUUAGAGUUUUCUUCUGUAAAACUAAGAGGAGAACUUGGUAUCUUCAGGUAGCAAAAUACCAACAGAGCUUGGAAAAGUAUAUCAAGAUACACACCAAAAGGGGAUUUUCCGAAGAAAAAAAAACAACACAUAAGAUUUUUAUUUUUUCUGUUGUGAGUUCCCUGUCGUGAUCUGAAACUUUAUCACCGUUCGUGUCCAAUUUAGUAGGUGGAAGGUCGGCUCGAGUUCAUCUUCCCAGUUGCUACAUCGAAGAAGUUCGCGAGGAACUUAUUUCUUAUCUUAUAUUCCAAGGAGCCGUAAAGGCUCGACUCCCUUAGUUCAAGUCAAGCAGUCCAUAAAACCAAGGAACAAACCUAAGUUGAAAGAAUUCAAAUGGACCAAGGAGGUGAAGAGGAAGAAAGUGGGACACAAGUGCCCAAGUUUAUUCCCUUACAAUUUGUGUAUUAUUGUUUUGGGGCCUAAGCCUUUUGUUUUUAUUUUCCGUAUUUAAUUUGUAUUAAUUAUCCAUUUAGUCUAGGAUAGGUAUUCAAGAUGACAAAUGGGUCAAAAACCCAAAACAGGUGGGUCCAAAAUUCCUGUCAAGGCUAACAGAACCCGAAUUUGGACCCAAAUCUCUCUCCCUUUUCUCUCUCUUACCUUAUCGUCUAUGUGUUUGAAUUUAUUUGUAGGUAGCUUAAGGUUAGAAAAAUUCUAAAUCCCCGUCAAAUGACAUACUAUUUCAUUAACUUUAAAUUUAACUAAGUCUUAAAAAUGAUAAUGCUUCGAAUUUGUAAGUUCCGCUUAGAUAAAAAUUUAGAAACUCAGUUUCAAACAGUUUUCAAAUUUUUAAACAAGUGUUAGCCAAAUAAAAUUAGUUGUCGGAUAAUUGCAAGUAAGCGGACGUCUUAGGUGCUUUCAAAACCUUCUUAAGAUGUUAAUAUGAAUCCCCGAACCCCCUAUAGAGUUUUCAAAUGAUUUUUUCUGUUUAAGUCUUUUGAAAACCACAGUUUUCUUGUUUUUUCUUCAAAAUUAAGUAGCAUUUCUAAAAAGUCGAAAAAGUCUUCAAAACAAAUAUUUUUCUGACUUCGGAUAAAACAGGAUGUCCUAGAUAGGACCUGUCGCUUCAUAUUAAAUGUAAUGAUCUUAUUUGAUUUUCUGUCAUUCACGUUGUUUUAUAUAUGAUUCGCCUUUGGUAAACCAAAUUUCGAUACUCCCAUUGUAUGAUGUCAAAUGCUAUAAUUAGUCGAAUUUGUGAUGAUGAAAAUGAUACUAUGUUGAAUGUUAAAAUGUAUUGUAAACAUGCAGAUCUACUUUCAAUGCAAACUGCAUGGUAAAAAGACAAUCCAGGUCGCAUAUUUUGGUCCUGUCCAUGAUAUCGUGAGAACUCAUGCAACUUCUUUAGAUGGAGGGAUUGUGAAGAUGUUGAUAUAUGAUCCAAGUUAGUUAUUCUCCGAUUGGCGAAAAAAAUUAAGGAGUUGGACACUGUUGAUGAAAGUCAUAUCAAAAGAAGUACCGAAUGGGUGAUGAAGGAGAAGAAAAAGGCCAAAUGUUGUAGCAUCUGGAAGCUAAUGUUUGUGUUCUUUGUUUUUUUUUCUUGUAUUUUUAAGCAUUACCAAGAAGAUUUUUGUAGAGGAUACAAAAUUAUUAUGUAGUUGUGCACAACCAAUACAAUUAUCAUAGUUGUGGAAUUAAAUAGACGUAGUUUUGCACUCCUGA